ACGGGUGAGUAACGCGUGGGAAUCUACCGUACCCUACGGAAUAGCUCUGGGAAACUGGAAGUAAUACCGUAUACGCCCUAACGGGGAAAGAUUUAUCGGGGUAUGAUGAGCCCGCGUUGGAUUAGCUAGUUGGUGGGGUAAAGGCCUACCAAGGCGACGAUCCAUAGCUGGUCUGAGAGGAUGAUCAGCCACAUUGGGACUGAGACACGGCCCAAACUCCUACGGGAGGCAGCAGUGGGGAAUAUUGGACAAUGGGGGCAACCCUGAUCCAGCCAUGCCGCGUGAGUGAUGAAGGUCUUAGGAUUGUAAAGCUCUUUCACCGAUGAAGAUAAUGACGGUAGUCGGAGGAGAAGCCCCGGCUAACUUCGUGCCAGCAGCCGCGGUAAUACGAAGGGGGCUAGCGUUGUUCGGAAUUACUGGGCGUAAAGCGCACGUAGGCGGGUAUUUAAGUCAGGGGUGAAAUCCCGCAGCUCAACUGCGGAACUGCCUUUGAUACUGGGUAUCUUGAGUAUGGAAGAGGUAAGUGGAAUUGCGAGUGUAGAGGUGAAAUUCGUAGA
rnacentral:rRNA from 1 species